GAUGAACGCUGGCGGCGUGCCUAAUACAUGCAAGUAGAACGCUGAAGCUUGGUGCUUGCACCGAGCGGAUGAGUUGCGAACGGGUGAGUAACGCGUAGGUAACCUGCCUGGUAGCGGGGGAUAACUAUUGGAAACGAUAGCUAAUACCGCAUAACAGUAGAUGUUGCAUGACAUCUGCUUGAAAGGGGCAAUUGCUCCACUACCAGAUGGACCUGCGUUGUAUUAGCUAGUUGGUGAGGUAACGGCUCACCAAGGCGACGAUACAUAGCCGACCUGAGAGGGUGAUCGGCCACACUGGGACUGAGACACGGCCCAGACUCCUACGGGAGGCAGCAGUAGGGAAUCUUCGGCAAUGGACGGAAGUCUGACCGAGCAACGCCGCGUGAGUGAAGAAGGUUUUCGGAUCGUAAAGCUCUGUUGUAAGAGAAGAACGAGUGUGAGAGUGGAAAGUUCACACUGUGACGUAUCUACCAGAAAGGGACGCA
rnacentral:rRNA from 1 species